rnacentral:rRNA from 1 species
ACUCCUACGGGAGGCAGCAGUGGGGAAUAUUGCACAAUGGGGGAAACCCUGAUGCAGCCAUGCCGCGUGUGUGAAGAAGGCCUUCGGUUGUAAAGCACUUUCAGUAGGGAGGAAGGUAGUGUAGUUAACACCUGCACUAUUUGACGUUACCUACAGAAGAAGCACCGGCUAACUCCGUGCCAGCAGCCGCGGUAAUACGGAGGGUGCGAGCGUUAAUCGGAAUUACUGGGCGUAAAGCGCAUGCAGGCGGCCUGUUAAGUCAGAUGUGAAAGCCCGGGGCUUAACCUCGGAAUUGCAUUUGAAACUGGCAGGCUAGAGUCUUGUAGAGGGGGGUAGAA